GUGGUAAAAUAAUCGAGCUCUCCUUUCGCCCACUGCUAGAUAGGGACAUGAUGAGAUGGUUCUUGUCCAAUCUAAAGGCUGCGCUGGGGUUGUACGUGUAUAAUUCGGUGCUUUCAUAAUGUAUGUCUGUGCGUUUGGUUUGAAUUAGUUCUAUAGUCUCUCCCAGAUUCGGACCCAGUUCCAAAUAGAGCAACUUCAAAUUCGGAACAAGAUGGACACCCCUGCAGGCACUCAUUGUCCGUGAGUUGAUAGAUACAACAGAAAGCCGCACGGCCAGAAUAAAUAACGAGCAAAAAUAUUGGGUAUGCCAAAAACAAAUAAAAAGGAAAAAUAUGGAGAUGAAAAGAGUGAAUCAAAACCAUACAAGAAAAAACACUGGAGUCUUGGAUUACUUGAUUCAAUGAGUGACCCAGACCUGAUUGUUGAAGAAGAUGCAUUGGUGACAGUCAUCAAAGACAAAUACCCAAAGAACCAUAAAACAAUCCGCAGAACCUCUCACAAUCCGCAGAUUUUACAAGCAAUUAUACAAGGCUCUGGCAUCAUUAUUUCCCUGGUCACUGGAUACUGAGUUGGCAGAUCCGCACAUUGUGCAACUUUUUCUGCUCUCUGGGGAGUAUCCCUGGUCAUUGCUGCUUGAACGUGCACGACCCAUACAUUCCACGUCAUACCAUCUCACCAGGUACCCAUUUAUACUCCUGGGUGGAGAAAGGUAAACGUAAGUAAAGUGCCUUGCCCAAGGACACAAGCAAUGCGAUGAGCGUUGGUCUUGAACUCCCGAUCUAACAAUCAGAAGUCCAGCGCCUUACACGCCGCGCCACAUGGUCCUGAUAAGACAUACAGUAAAGGAGAAAUGUAGUGUUUGAUGUACAAAAAUGAAUUCUCUUUUUUUGUUUUAACAAAUGAUUUGUUUUUGAUUUUUAUAUAUUAUCUUGAAUAUGUUUUAAGGGAACAAUUGGAAUGACUAUGCAUUUAUGUAAGGAUCAGUUAUUGUAACAUGGGAUCAGUUUUAUUCUUUUGAAAAGUAGUUAAGAUUUUGGGUUUUCUUUUUUGACCAUCUUUUGUUUUGAUUGUUUGGUUAUCUUUAAGGUUAUUGAUUUAUGUUGCUGAAUGCACCGUCAAAUUCACUAAAAGUGUACCUCAAUUAAAAAACUAACUAAAACUAUGAUCUUUCUACGAUCUUUAUACAUAUAGUGUCAUGUUGCAGUAGUUCAAACACAGAUCCUCACAACUGUGUCUGCUGCCCUCUAAUUGAGAAUGCAAGCCUUUGGGGUAUCAUAACAAAAUGAGUCUUGAGGUAUGCCAGGCCAUUUUAAGUGUAUAAAGCCAUAUUUUGACAAGUGAUAGUUUAAUAUUGUAUACUGUAUUUAUUUUAAUAAAUGCCUUUCUUUGAAUU